GACAAAUGAUUAAAAGGUCAAAACUGCCAUACUUUCAUGGUUUGCAAUCGGACGCUGAUGUGCUCUCCUUCUUGGCUGGUAGUUCUUCUCAUUGGUUGUACACAAAGACACAUAUAGAUGGCCAGUCAACAAUAUUAGAAAGGGAGGAUGAUACGGUCACGACAGGGAUUUGGGACAACUAAAUGUGAAGAAACCUUCAGACAUUGCUAAUUGAUGGAGUGAAAUUGGCAGGGCAGAGAUUUGGGGGAAGCUAAUUGAGCAGCGUGUUCUUCAUAGAAGACAUGAGGACAAGGAAAUGGCCUAGCUGGUGACCAUUGGAGAUGUAAAAUAGCCAAAAUUGUUGUUGUCGUUGGACCAAGGAGAAAGAGGAGCAGCGAUGGGGGUUCCGAUGUGCCAUCGCCGCUACGCCCAUUGCCAGCGCCUAGCAAGAUUUUGGCGUUUGGCAUACGGAGCACGAUCUGCCGCAUUUCCAUGGCAUUGAGACGAGGUGUGUGAGAAUAAUCCAAAGAGCCUGCACUACAUAAUUAAUCUAUGUGAUACUUUAAUCUGCAAGCUCUAGGUGAGUACCUACUAUAUUUGAUUUUUUCAUGUGAAU